ensembl:lncRNA
CGCUGUCUCUCAGGAGCAGCUGGGAACUGGCAUAUUUGUGAAGUUAAAACACAUGAAAGAGAGUUGAAAGAAGAAGUUGUCUGGAAGUGGGCCUGGAUCCAGGGCUCCUGAGAAGCCACUUUCUCACUGGACUCAGAUCAAUGGUCCCUUGGCCCGCCUGACUGGGCGGAUCCUCCUCUGCCAAGAGAGAACUGUUACCCCCAUUCCGGAACUCAACACUCUCUUAGGAGAGGAACGGAAUCCAUCUUAUUGUUCUAGAAACAGAGUCCCAGGCAAUAGGGACAGAGAGACUGGCCCAGCAAGGAUUCUCUGAGCCAACUGAACAGGUGACAAAGGGCACAGGAAAGGAGAUGUUGGCUCCAACGGAGCUGACCAAUUCAAGGAAUCCGUGUUCACGGAGUCCUGGCUAUACUCACGAGGUUGUGGCUUGGCCUUACUGGGACGGUAGGGGAUAGGUGAAACCCAGGUAGCUGGCAAUCUAGUUGGAGAAAUAACAAGUGGACAUAGAAGAGCAGCCUGGACAGUGGAUGCUAAAGGCCAAAUGAGCAGCACAGGUGGUCAGUGCCACCAGCCAUCAGAGGAGAGGUCAGUUCAGAGGAGAGGCCGGCCGGAAAUGCCUAGAAAAGGCAAGGAGUACGCAAAGUGGUCCAAAAGACAGCAGCCCUCAGGUGGAAAGAGCUGGGAAGGCCAUUAACCAGAGAAUUGCUGUGAGGACCAAAUGCAAGGAGAUAAUGGAUGUUAUAACACACGGAAAAGUUUAAAAUGAUUCGCAAACACGAGGUAGGAAGGAGUCUCCUGUCUUGGAAUCGCCCACCAGCACGUCUUUGUUGUUAGCAUUCAGUUUACUCUCGCUUAUACCUGCCCAUCAGAAGAGCCAAGAAGUAUGUAAAUUAUACUCAGGCUACGCUUGUAGAAAUUCCUGCCUAAUUCUUUGCACUCCUCCCUCCACCUCCUCUGGAAUCGAGCAGAAGUCACACCUCCUCGCUGUAAUAGGUAAUCUGGCUCAAGUGCAUUGAAGAGCAUGCCAGGAACUUGAAGAGCUAGAGAGUCCUCACCUGGUCCGGUCUGUAGUUGCUGCCUGCCCACGACCUUUUCUCCUCUGGUCCCUCCUUUCUCUACGUAGAAAACCCAGAGACAGAACAAGCACCCAAGCUGCACUUCCCGGGAGCUGCCUCCAGGGGCGCCUGUGCAGAGCGGCCUCUCCUCCCGGCCCGCCCACUGACUGCGCAUCGGCAGACAAACCAUUACUAUCGCCAAAAGUCCCUAUCCACCAGAUGCCGCUGUUAGGGACGAGGCUGACAAGACAAGUGCCUCUGGGAAAAGACACGGGGCUGACAUUCAGAGUAGGACGUAAAGGAUUGAGAGGGAAAGUUUUCCUGAGCUCGAGACCUGUUUGUUUGGGAAUGGAGGCGUUGGGAGGUGAGAACUGAAGGAAAAAGGAACCCAAAGGGAGAUAUGUUGGCACCUAGUGGCUGGAACAGGGAGAGAAGGGAGUGCCAGGGAACAAGGGGGAGGGUGUGGAAAGACGAGGCUAGGGCGCUGACGACAAGCUUCCCCAACUCCACAGGCUGGCCAAGCCCCAGCCCUGGAUCCAGAGGAGUCACAGCCGAGAGCCGACCUCCGAGGCCACGUCCUUUCACCUCCUCGCUCCCUGGUCUCUGUGCAGCAAUUGUGGUCCGCCAGGUUCUGGCCAAUGUGUAGCCUCUCCAUGCUGAAAACGGCCCCUUGAAAAGUGGAGGGGAAGAGACCAGCCCCCAGCAGCGAACCCCAUAUAUACCGGGAGGUAACUCGAAACCCCAGAGCUGGGCCAGGGGAGGAGGGGAAGGGUAGAGGGGGAUGAGGUUUUUCCACUUCCAUUCGCAACUGUCAGGCGGGUGAUUAAUGACCAACAGGUUUGGAAUCGCCUUUAUUGCCAGAUCAGUAUUGUUGCCCAUGACAGCUAAUGAGGUUGGACAGGCUUCUCCACACUGAGCUUUAUGGGGCCGGCUCCCUCCCCUGCAGAGCUCGCAAGCCCUGCCAGCUUUUGUGCACUGGAAUGUUCCAGCCCCACACCCCGCUUUGCUCCUCCAACACUACCUCCCCCAACCCCCUGAACCACCAUGUCACCCAGAACCUACCCCGUCCACAAAGGAAGCUGGGGAGCAGGGGUUUCUGAUGCCCAGCCUGCUCAGAGAGACCCAUCUGUUACGCCCACACCCCUGAGCGCCCCUCCCCAGCCCUGCUGGAGCUUGAGCAGUGGGAUGGGGGCAGCUCUGAAUAAAAAGGAAGGGAAAGGAACAAAAGCAAACAUCGCAGCCCUUAGGUUUAAGACAAGGGGAAGACACGUCUGUAUGCUUGUUCUGGACAGUCUGACCAGCAAACUUAAGAAGCCAUUCCCCAGUCAGCCGUAAAACUCAAAAAGUAUUUUAUACAUUACCACUUCAAUCCAGCAAAUGUGUUGGGUGGGGGGAGUGAGGACAGAGGAAUGAGGGAAUUUAGGAAAGGAGGUUUAAUCACAGUUAAUACUGAUUUUUUAACCAACCACCUUGAGCCUAGAUACACAAAGCCAGGUUUCAGUGCAGAAAUCAACUUGGUCUGAGGUUUCAGGGUAAGGAAAUGCUGGCUUUGUUUUCUGCUCUCUUACAAAUAAUCUUUACCUUUGUGCUAGUUCACAUCUUGAUACGGUUAAGCACGUGUUUGCCUGGGGUUUAAUAUUUGAAGGAGUUGGAGCAAUGUAAUAAGCAAACAGCUUAAAAGGCCCAGAAAGACCCCCUCAGCUUAAAAAUCUAUUACUUUUCAACGUGAUAUAAAUGUAUUUUGCUUCUGCUCAGAGCAAUUUCCUAGUUUACU